AACGAACGCUGGCGGCAGGCUUAACACAUGCAAGUCGAGCGCCCCGCAAGGGGAGCGGCAGACGGGUGAGUAACGCGUGGGAAUCUACCCAUCUCUACGGAAUAACGCAUGGAAACGUGUGCUAAUACCGUAUACGUCCUUCGGGAGAAAGAUUUAUCGGAGAUGGAUGAGCCCGCGUUGGAUUAGCUAGUUGGUGGGGUAAAGGACUACCAAGGCGACGAUCCAUAGCUGGUCUUAGAGGAUGACCAGCCACACUGGGACUGAUACACGGCCCAGACUCCUACGGGAGGCAGCAGUGGGGAAUAGUGGCCAAUGGGCGCAAGCCUGCUCCAUCCAUGCGGCGUGAGUGAUGAAGGCCCUAGGGUUGUAAAGCCCUUUCACCGGUGAAGAUAAUGACGGUAACCGGAGAAGACGCCCCGGCUAACUUCGUGCCAGCCGCCGCCGUAAUAC
rnacentral:rRNA from 1 species